UACGUAGGGGGCAAGCGUUGUCCGGAAUCAUUCGGCGUAAAGCGCGCGUAGGCGGCCCGGUAAGUCCGUUGUGAAAGUCAAAGGCUCAACCUUUGAACGCCGAUGGAUACUGCCGGGCUAGAGUCCGGAAGAGGCGAGUGGAAUUCCUGGUGUAGCGGUGGAAUGCGCAGAUAUCAGGAGGAACACCGGUGGCGAAGGCGGGUCUCUGGGCCGAUACUGACGCUGAGGAGCGAAAGCGUGGGGAGCGAACAGG
rnacentral:rRNA from 1 species